ACGGAAGGCAGCAGUGGGGAAUAUUGCACAAUGGAGGAAACUCUGAUGCAGCGACGCCGCGUGAGUGAAGAAGUAUUUCGGUAUGUAAAGCUCUAUCAGCAGGAAAGAAAAUGACGGUACCUGACUAAGAAGCCCCGGCUAACUACGUGCCAGCAGCCGCGGUAAUACGUAGGGGGCAAGCGUUAUCCGGAUUUACUGGGUGUAAAGGGAGCGUAGACGGUAUUGCAAGUCUGAAGUGAAAACCUGGGGCUCAACUCCGGGAUUGCUUUGGAAACUGUAGUACUAGAGUGCAGGAGAGGUAAGUGGAAUUCCUAGUGUAGCGGUGAAAUGCGUAGAUAUUAGGAGGAACACCAGUGGCGAAGGCGGCUUACUGGACUGUAACUGACGUUGAGGCUCGAAAGCGUGGGGAGCAAACAGGAUUAGAUACCCUGGUA
rnacentral:rRNA from 1 species